AUUGAACGCUGGCGGCAGGCCUAACACAUGCAAGUCGAGCGGAUGAAGGGAGCUUGCUCCUGGAUUCAGCGGCGGACGGGUGAGUAAUGCCUAGGAAUCUGCCUGGUAGUGGGGGAUAACGUCCUGAAACGGGCGCUAAUACCGCAUACGUCCUGAGGGAGAAAGUGGGGGAUCUUCGGACCUCACGCUAUCAGAUGAGCCUAGGUCGGAUUAGCUAGUUGGUGGGGUAAAGGCCUACCAAGGCGACGAUCCGUAACUGGUCUGAGAGGAUGAUCAGUCACACUGGAACAGAGACACGGUCCAGACUCCUACGGGAGGCAGCAGUGGGGAAUAUUGGACAAUGGGCGAAAGCAUGAUCCAGCCAUGCCGCGUGUGUGAAGAAGGUCUUCGGAUUGUAAAGCACUUUAAGUUGGGAGGAAGGGCAGUAAGUUAAUACCUUGCUGUUUUGACGUUACCAACAGAAUAAGCACCGGCUAACUUCGUG
rnacentral:rRNA from 1 species